rnacentral:rRNA from 1 species
AUGAACGCUGGCGGCGUGCCUAAUACCUGCAAGUCGAGCGAACAGACGAGGAGCUUGCUCCUCUGACGUUAGCGGCGGACGGGUGAGUAACACGUGGAUAACCUACCUAUAAGACUGGGAUAACUUUGGGAAACCGGAGCUAAUACCGGAUAAUAUAUUGAACCGCAUGGUUCAAUAGUGAAAGACGGUUUUGCUGUCACUUAUAGAUGGAUCCGCGCCGCAUUAGCUAGUUGGUAAGGUAACGGCUUACCAAGGCGACGAUGCGUAGCCGACCUGAGAGGGUGAUCGGCCACACUGGAACUGAGACACGGUCCAGACUCCUACGGGAGGCAGCAGUAGGGAAUCUUCCGCAAUGGGCGAAAGCCUGACGGAGCAACGCCGCGUGAGUGAUGAAGGUCUUCGGAUCGUAAAACUCUGUUAUUAGGGAAGAACAAAUGUGUAAGUAACUAUGCACGUCUUGACGGUACCUAAUCAGAAAGCCACGGCUAACUACGUG